UACGAAGGGGGCUAGCGUUGUUCGGAAUUACUGGGCGUAAAGCGCGCGCAGGCGGUUCUUUAAGUCAGGGGUGAAAGCCCAGAGCUCAACUCUGGAAUUGCCUUUGAAACUAGAGGACUUGAGUACGGGAGAGGUGAGUGGAAUUCCGAGUGUAGAGGUGAAAUUCGUAGAUAUUCGCAAGAACACCAGUGGCGAAGGCGGCUCACUGGCCCGAUACUGACGCUGAGGCACGAAAGCGUGGGGAGCAAACAGG
rnacentral:rRNA from 1 species